CAAAUGCAAAAUUCCAGCCAGACUCUCAGGAAAAAGCAAGAGUCCCUGUUCAUAGCUGUAAUCUAUCACCCUACUUCGUAGGAUAACUGGUCUCUGUAAGCAGUGCAGGACCAGUGCCCCUGUAUCAGAGCAGGUGGACCCAGUUGAGCCAAUUAAAGGAGGCAGGGCUACACCUGGGGCUGUCAGCCUGUCAGAGGAGUAAUGAUUGGGACAGGCUGUACUUGGCACCACAGGAGAGUGGAGCUAACUCCUGUGGUGGAGCUGCUGUUCCAGAAGAGCAGCUGGAGCUGGCUGAAUGAGGACUGGCUGAGCAGGGAGCUGGAAAGCUGCAAGAAGCAGAAUUACCAGAGACCUCAGGGAGGAGAGGCUAGGAUAAAGGCAGAAGCUGCAAAGCUGUGCUCCGCUCGCUAAAAAUUCCCAUGCCUGGAGGGUAGACACCAUCACAUGACAUGCCUGUUAUUUAUGCAGUCCUUGUGUGUCUCAAUUGAACAGAAAGCUACUAUCAUAAGAUGACAAUAGGCUUUUCAACAUCCUCCAGAAGUCCUCCUGCUCGUCCUGGAAAUCUCUAGCCAAAACAUUGAAUAAGGACUCAUUUCUACAUUCUUUGCACACAUUAAGUUAGUCACACAGAAUGUUUUAAUACCAUAUACUUCUACAUACGGCUGUGGCAACAAGGACACCAGCACCUAGCUCUUACAGUAUGAUGGGGAUAGCAAUCUUCUAUGACACAAGUUGAUAACCUCUUGGAUCUUUGAAUUGUCUUAGGGGGAACAGGAAAGAAUCUCAUCCUGAUUUUUUGACUAUAAAGAAGUGGUUCCUAAUGAUUUUGUACAUCUGAGCAAAGAUGUUACUACUAAUGAGAGACUGGGGGGCUGGGCUGGUGCUAAAAGUUUGCGUAACCUUUAUUUAUAAAGAAAUCUCACCUUUUAACAAAGACCUAGUACUAAAUAUGUAUUGUUUUACAAAGUCAGGUUAAGUGUAAAUAUAGUUUAAAUAAAGUUUAUUACAGACUAAAUAUUUUAUUCAUAUACAUAAACCUACUACCCUAGCCUUGCUUGCUUAUUAAAAAAGAUCAAGAAAGAAACAAGAUGAAGGUUUAUUUUGAACGGAUGCAUGCACUUCCAUGGACAGUUCUAAUAUCCUAAUAUUAACAAUCCUUCAGAGAUUAACUAUCUAAUGAAAGUUAGCUAGUGUAAUACAGGAAGUUUUGA